rnacentral:pre_miRNA from 1 species
GAUCUACUCCCUCCGUCCGAAAAUGCUUGUCCCUCAAAUGGAUGUAUCUAGCACCAAGUUAGAGCUAGAUAUAUCCAUCUAGAGGGACAAGCUUGACAAAGCUUUUUCGGACGGAGGGAUUAUCGA